rnacentral:snRNA from 1 species
AGCUUUGUGCAGUGGCAGUAUUGUAGCCAAUGAGGUUUAUCUGAGGUGUGAUUAUUGCUAAUUUAAAAGAAAAAUAAG